CUCAGGAAGGAGAUUACCACAGGUACCUGGCAGAGUUUGCCACAGGCAAUGACAGGAAGGAGGCAGCAGAGAACAGUUUGGUUGCGUACAAAGCUGCUAGCGACAUCGCCAUGAUGGAACUCCUCCAACGCACCCCAUUCGGCUGGGAUUGGCCCUUAACUUUUCAGUUUUCUAUUAUGAAAUCCUCAACUCGCCAGACCGUGCUUGCAGGUUGGCGAAGGAAGCGUUUGACAAUGCCAUUGCAGAACUGGAUACGCUGAGCGAGGAAAGCUAUAAGGACUCAACACUUAUCAUGCAGUUGCUACGUGACAACUUGACACUAUGGACCUCAGACGUGCAGGGUGAUGGUGA